rnacentral:siRNA from 1 species
UAUGUCUGAGAGCUUUAAUGCAGA